rnacentral:rRNA from 1 species
AUUGAACGCUGGCGGCAGGCCUAACACAUGCAAGUCGAGCGAGCGGCGGACGGAUGAGUAAUGUAUGGGGACUGCCCGAUAGAGGGGGAUAACUACUGGAAACAGUAGCUAAUACCACAUACUAUCGGAUAACCCAUAUGGGAUUAGCUAGUAGGUGAGGUAAUGGCGCACCUAGGCGACGCUCCCUAGCUGGUCUGAGAGGAUGAUCAGCCACACGGGGACGGAGACGCGGCCCAGAAUCCUACGGAUGCAGCAGUUGGGCAUCUGGCGCAAUGGGCGCAAGCCUGAUGCAGCCAUGCCGAGUGUAUGAAGCAGGCCCUAGGGUUGUAAAGUACUUUCAGUCGGGAGGCGUUACCGACAGAAGAAGCACCGGCUAACUCCGUGCCAGCAGCCGCGGUAAUUC